UACGGGGGGGGGGUAAGCGUUGUUCGGAAUUACUGGGCGUAAAGGGCUCGUAGGCGGCCAACUAAGUCAUACGUGAAAUCCCCUCGGCUUAACCGGGGGAACUGCGUCUGAUACUGGAUGGCUUGAGUUCGGGGAGAGGGAUGCGGAAUUCCAGGUGUAGCGGUGAAAUGCGUAGAUAUCUGGAGGAACACCGGUGGCGAAGGCGGCAU
rnacentral:rRNA from 1 species